rnacentral:lncRNA from 1 species
GUUACAACACCACCAAAUGGACUAAGACAAGUAUUUAUCCAAAGGAAAUAAAAAUGCUACGACACAAAGAGGAGCUGCUAACACCAGAUGACCAACUCCUUUCCAGUUACGGACCAUCCCGGUGAUGAGACCUCCAUAUGUUGUCUGAUGGCCGCAGUUCCUUGAGAAGCGUGGCCUGUCAGCCCAGCAUCAGAUGGUUCCAUGCCAACCUCCUCCAUGGCUAGGUGUUGGAGCGCCCCAGCUGCUGCCUCCCUGGUAGCUUUCAUUAAAGGACUUUGCUUUUUUGGUAAAUAAGGGCCCCAUUUUUCUACCUUAGUCUUUGAAAAUCAACCUGAGAAACACUUUGUGUGUCUACAUCUCUUAGGAAGAAGAGAAUAAUGAGAUGAUGUAUGCAGAGCACUGGCAGAAAGCCUAGCAUAGAGGAAUCUGAGGAUUCGCCAUGCAUGCUUCCUGGUAUAUAGUACUAGUUCUUGUCAAUGGCACAGAGACUUGAAGACUGUAUAUAAAUGGACACACCUACUAGAAUGAAUGGAAACCCACACUGCUGUUGUGAAGACACCUGAUGAAACUCCAGCAACUUCUACAUCUGGCCUGCUGCUUAGUCCUGGGACCUGAGGUCAAAAUCUUAGAAAAGAGCCAUGUGAGAUGCAUUCCCUGGCCUCAUCUCUGUUCUUGGAUGCUGUCAGCAACACUCCUUGAGUUUUUACCCACAUAAUAACACUUUCCUCAGCAUGGAUGUGGAGGUGGGGGUGAGGAAUGUUCUAUUUUUCCUUCGAUGGUUACGCCCUCACCCUACCAACUCAGUAAAAGGGGAGUGGUCAGGGAGCGUACUGAGAAUGUGUCCUAGC